UGGCAAGAUAUCUGACAUCGUUUUAUAUAUAACAGCAACAUAGUUGAUUGCUAUGGAAAAGAAAUAAUAUCAUAUUCAAUGUAGUUUCAACUAAAUGGACUCUAUUUUAGGAAGCAGCAAAACAAAUUACGAUCAGAGUUAUUAAAUGAAUAUACAGUAUAUAAAAAACCCGAUUAACAAAACUACAUUACAUAAUCAUCCAUGGAACCUUAUUUAAUUAUUCCAUCGUCGAACAGUAUACAUGUAAUAUUAGAAUGAAAAAUAAGUAGAUUAUUUAUUUUUUUUAAUUGAACUAAAUCGCAUGAUCUAAUCAGAAUUUAACUACUCAGUUUAUAGUUAAACAUUUUUAUAUAUACCAUUUUCCGCUUUCAUAUUUUGUUUUGGUAGUUCAAGAAAAGUAGGAUUUUUUUCGGUAAUUUCAGACGUGUUGCUUGGUGACACAACCGGAAAACGUAUUCCAGUUUCAUCUAUUUUCGUUUGGUUAACAGUUAGCUCUAGACAAAAGGAAAGAAAUUACUGGUCAUUCAUACUCUUCAGAAAAAUAAAAAUCCAUCAGAAAGGGAUACUAAUAGCAAAAUUACCGAAAUUUGAGCCACUGAAUCGGGAUGCCGUAAUAUUGCCGCUUUGAAUCACAAUCUCACUAAUGCGCUCCAUAUUCUUCAGAAUGGAGCUUGCGUCUUUAUCCGUCUAAGACAAAAUAUGAUAAAAACAAUAAAAUGAGAUGACACUUAAUGUAUAAAUACUUUGCUCUGUCUAAAGAUAUUUAUGUGGCAAAUCUUUGUAUAUUAUUUCAUAUUCAAACAUAUAUCAAGGUUAAUCUAUACUACCUGAGGAUGCUUCCACGCAGGUUUCGGGUUUUUUCACCGAAUGGGUUUUGAGAAUAUAUUUAAAAGAAUACUAACAAAUUCUCGAUAAUUUAUAAUUAUCCUAUCUUAUCAAAGAAAGUGUGUAUCUUUAUUUUAACAAACUUGAGACCCUUCACCCUGGAAUGCUUUAGGCUAAGUUUGAUUAAGAUUCGGUCUGCGGUUCUGGAGGAUGUAAAAAAUGU
rnacentral:sRNA from 1 species